CCCUUAGAUGUUCUGGGCUGCACGCGCGCUACACUGACGCACGCAAAAGGUGCCUGCUCCGAGAGGACUGGGUAAUCAUUUGAGUGUGCGUCGUGAUGGGGAUAGAAUAUUGUAAUUAUUACUCUUCAACGAGGAAUUCCUAGUAAGCGCCAGUCAGCAGCUUGCGCUGAUUACGUCCCUGCCCUUUGUACACACCGCCCGUCGCUCCUACCGAUGGGUGAUCCGGUGAAUGAUUCGGACUUCAGCGGCUCCCCUGGGGUGCGCCGGAGAAAGUUUUGUGAACCUUAUCACUUGGAGGAAGGAGAAGUCGUAACA
rnacentral:rRNA from 1 species